CUGUGAUAGCCAAACCUUUUCGGCUGACAUAUUUGCUCUUUUUGGCUCACUAGCUCAUUUUGACUCAGUAGUUCAGUUUUGCUAACUAGCUCAGUUUUGCUCACUCACUCUUAUGGCUCAUGUUGCGGUCUUCUCAAUUGGCGUCCCCAAAGUGAACGUUCUCUUUUUUGGCGCGUAUUGUUCAUUUAACUUAUAAUAAAAUGUCGUUAAUUAGAAAGCUCAGCCAUAUUUGGAAUCAUUUUAAGGACAUGGAAACGCAACAGGCUAUAUGCAAGAUUUCCAAAAGUGUCUUAGGCUGCAAGUCACAAGGCAAUUUAAAUAGGCAUUUGAAAACCAAGCAUGCAUCAGCUAUUGAGACCGUUGUACGACAAAACAAAAAAAUCACUUCGUUUGUCCACAAACCAAUUCCGGCGAGCAAAUCUUCGCACAUUGACCGGCAAGUGGUAAAAAUUAUUUCCAAGGGUCACCAUGCCUUUGGAAUAGUGGAGGAACCUGAGUUCCAAAAACUUCUUAACGACGUCUCACACUCUCCAGGCUAUACUCUCCCGACAAGGAAGACGUUGACGAAUGUUUUGCUCCCCAAAAUACGGGAUGAGUAUGCAGGUGCUAUUGUAGAUCAGCUCAGUGCGGCUACAGCGGUCUGCCUUACGACAGAUGGCUGGACAUCAGUUGCCAACAAGAGCUAUCUCGCAAUGACCGUGCACUUUAUUGAAAAAGAGCAAACGGUGUUGAAAUCAUACACAAUAGCUUGCCAGGAAUUUUCCGUGUCCCAUACCUUUGAAAAUCUUUGUGAAUUUAUUCACAAAACCGUUGCAAAAUGAGGCAUUGAGAACAAUAUAGUGGCAAUAGCAUCUGAUAACGCUGCAAAUAUUGUUGGUGCCAUCCGAAUGGGAAAUUGGGAGCAUAUAAGGUGUUUCGCUAAUACCCUAAAUUUGAUUGCUCAAAAGGCAUUAAGAAAAAUUAGUAGCGUACGCAUAAAAGCUAAAGCGAUUGCUGAAUACUUUAGACACAGCUCAUCUGGCCAAAAAAAAAAAAUUGAAGGAAAUGCAAGCUUUGCUUAAGUUGCCUGAACUAAAAAUAAGCCAAGACGUACCUAGGCAUUGGAAUUCCACGUUCAAAAUGUUUUAAAGACUAUCAAUCUCAAGGAAAUUACGGCAGAGAAAAAUGUGACUCUGUCCUAAAUAAUAAUCUAAACUAAUUGCAAAAAAAAAUUCUCACCUUAAGCAAAAAGGUGAAAGAGCGCAUUUUGAUAGAAAUUUGCAAUGAUGUUAUAUUGGAUAUGAAUGAUAGAUUUCAGAAUUGCGAGGCAAAUGUGUUGUUUGCGGAGAGCACAAUUUUAAAUCCCAGAUUUAAAGUCCCUGCACAAACCACAGUUGAAACCGGCAAUAAGGAUACUGACAAAACUUCAAAAGAGGACGAAGUAUGGGCUGAGUAUGACAGCUCCUUUCUUCAAGUCAGUCAGCCCAGCAACAGUACAGCAGCAGUUACCGGGAAAUUGAUAAAUAUCUUGCCGAGGAGUAUAUUUAUCGGAAGGACGAUCCCUUAGUAUGGUGGAACCAACGAAAAUCACAGUAUCCCUUACUUUACACAUACAUGUUAAAACGGCUCUGCAUAGUCGCUACAUCUGUGCCCCGUGAGCGCAUUUGUUCGAGCGCAGGUGAAACAGUGCGAAAAAGAAGGUCUUUACUUAAACCGAAGAACGUGGAAAGUCUGAUGUUUUUGCAUAACAACAUGUAAAUUUUGACCCUGAUAUAUAUACAUAUAUAAUCUCUCGUAUGUCCCAAUGAAUUGAUCUCAA